rnacentral:tRNA from 1 species
GGGCCUAUAGUUCAGUGGCAAAACACCUCAUUUGCAAUGAGGAGCCGCGAGUUCGAUUCUCGCUAGGUCCA